rnacentral:rRNA from 1 species
GACGAACGCUGGCGGCGUGCCUAAUACAUGCAAGUCGAACGGUGAAGGGGCAGGUUGUUGCUGUGUCUGAGUGAGGGGCGGGCGGGUGAGUAGUAGGUGAGCAACCUGCCAGCGGCUGCUGGCUAAUCGAAUGAAAAGGUGAUACAUACGGAGAGUACUGGUUGCAUGGCAUGGGGGGAGUGGGUACAAUUUCAUCUCUGCGGGGGGGAGGCCCGCUGUCUUUCCGGUUGUGUGUGGGGUGGGGGCCUACAAAGGCGGUGACGGGUAGCCGGCCUGAGAGGGUGGACGGUCACAGUGGGAAUGAGACACGGCCCAGACUCCUACGGGAGGCAGCAGUGGGGAAUAUGGCACAAUGGGCGAAAGCCUGAUGCAGCGACGCCGCGUGAGGGAUGGAGGCCUUCGGGUUGUAAACCUCUUUCGCCAGUGAAGCAGGCCUGUCCCUUGUGUGGGUGGGUUGACGGUAGCUGGAUAAGAAGCGCCGGCUAACUACGUG